rnacentral:rRNA from 1 species
GAGUUUGAUCAUGGCUCAGAAUGAACGCUGGCGGCGUGCAUAACACAUGCAAGUCGAACGAGAAACUCCGGGCUUGCUCGGGGGAGUAAAGUGGCGCACGGGUGAGUAACGCGUGGGUAACCUGCCCUUAAAUCUGGAAUAACUCGCCGAAAGGCGGACUAAUACCGGAUAUCGUACCGGAGGCGCAUGCCUUCGGUAUGAAAGGUGACCUCUUCAUGAAAGUUGCCGUUUAGGAAGGGGCUCGCGUACCAUUAGCUAGUUGGUAGGGUAAUGGCCUACCAAGGCGAUGAUGGUUAGCUGGUCUGAGAGGAUGAUCAGCCACACUGGAACUGGAACACGGUCCAGACUCCUACGGGAGGCAGCAGUGAGGAAUUUUGCGCAAUAGGGGAAACCCUGACGCAGCAACGCCGCGUGAGUGAAGAAGGCCUUCGGGUCGUAAAGCUCUGUCAAGUGGGAAAAAAGCCUACCAGUGAAUAGCUGGGUGGCCUGAUGGUACCACUAGAGGAAGCACCGGCUAACUCCGUGCCAGCAGCCGCGGUAAUACGGAGGGUGCAAGCGUUGUUCGGAAUUAUUGGGCGUAAAGCGCGUGUAGGCGGUUUGGUAAGUCAGAUGUGAAAGCCCUGGGCUCAACCCAGGAAGUGCAUUUGAAACUGCCUUACUCGAG